AUGGGGCUGCUUAGUACGUAAGAAUUAUGUUUCCCUUGGACCGAUAAGUAUUUUUUUGGGGAGCUAUCUCUUAUAAUACUUAGGUAUUAUAACAUGGCGCCCACCUUAACAAAAAGGGUCAGUGCGGACUAAUCCUGCUUACGGCUAAAGUGGUUUCAUC
rnacentral:other from 1 species